GCGUCGGUGGUCUAACGGCUAUGACAGCGGCCUUCCAAGCCGCUUAUCCGGGUUCGAAUCCCGGCCGACGCA
rnacentral:tRNA from 1 species